rnacentral:rRNA from 1 species
GAUGAACGCUGGCGGCGUGCCUAAUACAUGCAAGUCGAGCGAACAGAUGAGGAGCUUGCUCCUCUGACGUUAGCGGCGGACGGGUGAGUAACACGUGGAUAACCUACCUAUAAGACUGGGAUAACUUCGGGAAACCGGAGCUAAUACCGGAUAAUAUAUUGAACCACAUGGUUCAAUAGUGAGAGACGGCUUUGCUGUCACUUAUAGAUGGAUCCGCGCCGCAUUAGCUAGUUGGUAAGGUAACGGCUUACCAAGGCAACGAUGCGUAGCCGACCUGAGAGGGUGGUCGGCCACCCUGGAACGGAGACACGGUCCAGACUCCUACGGGAGGCACCAGUAGGCAAUCUGCCGCAAUGGGCGGAAGCCUGACGGAGCAGGGCCGAGUGAGUGAUGAAGGUCUUCGGAGCGUAAAACUCUGUUUUUAGGGAAGAACAAAUGUGUAAGUUACUAUGCACGUAUUGACGGUACCUAAUCAGAAAGCCACGGCUAACUACGUG